AUUUGCCUCUCCCCGCCCUGAGUCUAAAUCCCAUAUCCAUUUAUAGAAAUCUUUAACUAAUUAUUCAAAUCGAAUCAAAGUAUAAACGAACCCUAGAAGAAAAUAUGAGAAAUUAAAUCACGAUGCCCCGUAAUCAAAGCCCUAGAGGUUAGGGAUUUAAUUCCCUUAACCGAAGGCUACAUCACUAUAACAAGAAUGGAGC
rnacentral:lncRNA from 1 species